CGGGUGAGCAACACGUGGAUAACCUACCUAUAAGACUGGGAUAACUUCGGGAAACCGGAGCUAAUACCGGAUAAUAUAUUGAACCGCAUGGUUCAAUAGUGAAAGACGGUUUUGCUGUCACUUAUAGAUGGAUCCGCGCCGCAUUAGCUAGUUGGUAAGGUAACGGCUUACCAAGGCAACGAUGCGUAGCCGACCUGAGAGGGUGAUCGGCCACACUGGAACUGAGACACGGUCCAGACUCCUACGGGAGGCAGCAGCG
rnacentral:rRNA from 1 species